UCUUGGAGGAUUGGGUAUAAAACUCCAGGCUAAUGAGGCGAACCUUUUCAAAAGCAAUGUCAACAUGCAAGUCUUCAUUCAGGCUUCAGGACCGGCCAAUGUUACUGUGCUGCCUCAAAGGAAAGAGCAACACAUGGAUAGUCAAGGCAGUGGGAAGUCUGGACUCUCUGGGUAUUACUACCAGGGUGUGUGGCGACCACUAGGUGGCACCAAAGUCCACCAAUUCAACAACUCCUCUGCCAUC